ensembl:lncRNA
GAUAUUAUUAUUAUUAUGAUACAGACUCACCACUAUUGAAAUAUGCAGUUAGAAAAUUUGAUCUGGCACAUAUUUCUGAGACAGCUGGUGGGAACUAAGGGUGCCAUUUGGACCAAGAAAUAGAACAAAGCUAAUUGGCUACACAGGGACUCAACCCAUGUCCUUAGCCUCAUUAACUCUGUGCUCUACUAACUAUGAACAGUGUUACUCAUUCACUCACUCACCCUAUCUUUCAUGAGCUUGCCCUUCAUCUGAGAUGAGUGACCAUGGCCUCUGUCCUCAAAGAGAUCACCAUCUAGCAUGGAAUGGCAGACAGAUAAGUUGACAUACUUUAUAAUAAACUAAUGCUAUCAUAGAGGUUGAUAAAAGUGUUAAGAAGGCCCAGAGAAGAAAACUACCAUACUGAUUGGGAAGUAUGGCAUUCUUAUCUUGUUACUGAAUUUGUUGAACCUAAAAUUUUUACGUCUCAAAACAUUUAAGUGCACGUAAAUCUACAUGUUAAUAGUCAAUCUAAUUCUUCAUCUGAAAACUUCGAAGGUGCAUUUUCUUUUUCUUUUCUUUUUUUUACUUAAACAAUGAACAUUUAUUAUAUUACAGUUUCUAUGGGUCAGAAUUUGGAAAUAAUUUAGCUGGGUGCUUCUGCAUUAGGGCUCCUCAGAUGGUUUCAUUCACCAUGUUGGUGGGGGCUGUAGUCAUGUCAAACUUGAAUGUGAUUAUGGAAGUUCAGCUUCCAAAAUGGCUCAUGCACAGGACAGUUGGCAGGAAGUCUCAGUUCCUAUCUGGCUAUUGGCAGGAGGCCUUAGUUCCUGGCCUUGUUGCUUUUGUCCUAGGCUGCUUGAGGCCUCAUGACAUGACACCUAGCUUUUUCCAGAGAGAGCAAGAGCAUGGGCAAAGGAAAGCUGCAGUAUCUUGUGUGACCUGGUCUCUGAAUUUACGCCCUCUUACUUCCACUCUAAUGUAUGAUUUUUAAGUGAUCCCUAAUCUAAUGGAAAGUUUAAGAGUAGAAUUUAGGGUGUGCUUUAAUGUGAAAUCAGGACUUUGCAAAUCUUUCCAAAUUGCAUUGGCUGGCUUAUUGCAAAAUACCGCCCCCCAUAUGUUUUUCAGUUAAACGAAGUUAGAAACAACUUGAUAUUUUAUUUUUAUUUAUUUAUUUUUUUCUUCUUUUUUGGCCACUCUGUAGUAUAUGGAGUUCUUGCACCAGGACUCAGAUCCGAGCCAGAGUUGUGACGUCUCAACUCUGCCUGCAGCUAUGGCAAGACUGGAUCCUUUAAGCCACUGUGCUGGGCUGGGGAUUGAACCUGUGUUCUGGUGCUACAGAGACACUGACGAUUCCGUUGCCCCACCGUGCUUUUUUAGCUGUCAUCAUGUUUUUGUCCCCAAUUAUCUUGACAAUCCAUUUGAAUGGAUACAGAGAGCCAAUGAAUGGGCACAAUUAAAAAAAAACAGAUCCAGUGAAUGAUUACCAGUUCCCUGAAAUAAAGCGUGAGGUCUUCUAGAAAGCUGAAGAUACAAUUCAGUAUGCACAAAGUUGAUUUAUGCUUUUUCGAGAAUUCCUUUGUUGCUUAAAGGCAAGUGCACAGCCAAUAGCAUAAUUAUACAAAAAUGGCCCUUUUACUUGAUCCUUUUGGGUUAGUUAAGCUUUGCUACCAAUAAAAAGUGACCAAUGAUCCAGACAGCUUGCUUUUAUCCCACCUGAACCAUAAAUGAGACAAAUGAUCUGGCCCAGCUUAUGUCUUGGGAUGUGAGAGGUAAAUGGUAUCCUAAAGGUUUUAUUUCUCCUGAAAUUACUGCUGAAAGAUUUAGAGGAAAAAAAAUGAUCCUAUUACGUUACUCAAUCAGUGAAUAAGUUUUGGGGUAUUUAUACAUGGAAAUCACUCAUUUACUCUCCAGUGCUGUUUAAUGUCACUAACCCAAGAAUUUCAAAAGCUCUUUGUAGAAAUGAAUUCGUCUUAUUGAUAGGAAUGUGUAGGAUUCUAAUGCCAUGCUAUAUUUAUAUCACAGUGAUUAUACAUUAUUCUAAUCAGAUACUCAGCAGGUGGAAACUACCCAUCAAGAGCCGAGGAAAUUCUGUUAGGUGGUGUCCUUNNNNNNNNNNNNNNNNNNNNNNNNNNNNNNNNNNNNNNNNNNNNNNNNNNUUUCCAGUAGUGACAUAUUUAAUGAGCAUCUGGUGUCCCUUACAUACAUGAUUCUUGCCACUUUCAGAGAUAUAAAUGAUUUCCAUUUUGAAAUAUAUAACCGGAAUCCUGAUGAUCAGAGCUAAGCAGGGCAUUUAUCAGAACACCCUGGUUUUGGAGCAUCUGUGAAACAUUUCUUCCUAAAAACAGAUGAUCACUAACCUUGUUUGUCUUUUUCUUUACAGGAAUAUUUGAAUUAGAGCAAUGUUUUCACACUUCCUUACAUUUCACUACAUAACAGUUUCCAGAGACCACUCAGGGUUAGCAUCCUCUUGCAUUUCCUUCUGUAGAUUUAAACAUUUAAACCACCGACAUUAUAUCCCAUUUUACUGGGAACUUACAAAUAUUAUACUAUGCUGGAUGCUGGGCACUCUCCACUGAGCAUACCUUCUGCACUUUGUUCUGGGUAUUGCUCACCAGAAAAAGAAGAAAGACUCUGAAUAGGUGUUCUUUCCUCUGUGUAUAGGCUAGCCUGAAUUUUUCUGUAUAAAAAAAUCGUUUUUCCCUAUCGUCUACUUUCAGGUCUAACAGUUUUCCUUUGCUGCUUUGGAGUGCUUACAGCCGGGGGCAGCAGAGCUUUGUCCUGGCAGCCACUCUGGUGGCUGCUGAAGGUUGGGAAUUAUGCUGCCCUGGUGUUUGCCCCCUGAUGCAGCUCAGGAGACCUUGGGCAGCUGCUCAGGUCUAUUAACAGUCACUUAAGGCAGCAGGUUGAGGGAGCUGUGCUGCUAUGGGCAAAAGGGGGUGCUGAAAGAUGGAAAGGGGAUCUGCUCGGCUUACUAGUACCUGCCACAUUUGGGAGGUGUUAUGUUUGGGAGACUUUAAAAAAAAUCAAAGAGAUAUUAUUUGGUUGUCACAUAUAGCAGAUGGAAUGUGUUUUGCCACAAAUUUUGCCAAAAAUGUGAUAUCAGUUUUCACAUGCUUAUCAUUUUACUGGGAACUCUUAUAUAUUAAACAUUUAAAAAAAAUAGAGUCAAUUCUAAAGUUGAUCAAGAAAUAUUCAUUUUGAAAUGUAUUGAAAGAUGGCAUACAAACUCUGUAUCUGCUUCUUAUACUGUUCGAUCUCAGCUGAUAGGGACAUGCUCCUAUAUUCUAAAAAGCUGACAAAAGUAGAUAGAAGCCAGCAGACCAGAUGCAGCUUAAAGCCUACAAAUUAUUCCAGGACUUGAGCUUCUUUAAGGCUCUAUUUUAAGAUGCAGUACUUGUUUGUUUGUUUCAACAGGAGGGUUAGAAGAUAGAAAAUGCUUUAUUGAUGGAAAGUGGGAGCUGUUACUCCCCCCACCUCCUCUACUUGACAAAACUAAAAAAGAAAGCAAGGCCAUUCAUUUUCCAACUAGAUCUUUAAAAUGCUCACAUCAAAUGGGAAGACAUUGCUUCUGAGUGAGAAGCCAAACGUUGGCAACACUCAAGUUUCCUACCAUUUCCCACUUUAAUUUGUGUAUGUUUUUAAUUCAAAUCACCUUCAAAUGGGUUUCCACACAUUAAAAAGAAGAAAAUCACCUGAGAUGAGAACUCAGCAUCUCUCUCUAAAUAGGGGGUUCUGUUAGCAGCCUUUCCGCGGCUAAUUGGGAAUUAUACGGUGCGUAGUGUACUUUUCACGAUUCCAAGCACAGCCAACUCCAUCUAAACCGGUAAUUAUUACAUUAUCUCUGUUAUCAAAGAGGCUGCAAAAGCGGCUAGCAGAAUUGGCUGUAUGGUUGUCUUCGAGGUCAUCACUUAGUGAUACAGGGAAAAUUAGGCUGAGGAAGCUCCAGCACACAGGCGUCUUCCCCGGAGAUGAAGCUGCGCCCCGCACAGCGCACAGUUAGUUGUCAGUGCGGUGGUGACGGCCACACCUGGCAGCGGCCACAGUGCAUCUCCUGCGUGCAAGGGCUGUGGUUCGGCUGUGAGGAGCUGUUCUGUGCGACGGCGGCGGCAGCAGAGGGAGCCUAGGCGCUCGGGUAGAAGCUGAGGGAUCGCAGUAUCUGUGCUGCAUUCUCCAAAGCAGCGGCCCGGGGCCGCCGCCUGGGAACUUCCCAGCACGCACUCAGCCGCUCUGCUCCUCACCCUCAAUUGUUGAUGAGCCUGGGCGCUCGUCAACGCACCGAAGACAACCUAUUCUGCUUUCUUAGAGACGGAGCUGAGAAAUGAGCUGCCCAAGGAAUUUGGCGAUGAGAGUGAAAGGCAGUUUGGCGCCAGCAGCCAAGUUGUAGAAUUGCUUUGGAGGCUGCCGGGGUGCACAAGAGAAUUGACAAGAACAGACACCGUUGCAGACCAAAGGCAUGCCUGAUUGCACUUGAGUCAGAUCGCUGGGACGCAGCCUCUGCUCUAACUAUUUGUGGCCGAAUAAAGGAAAGGAGACUAGAAACAGGACUGCCAGUGGUAUUCCUAAAAGGAAAACAAGGACACUCCAGAAGGAGGGGGAAAACAGCCCAGCUGGUGUGUGCAUUUUUUUUUUUUUUUUUUUUUUAAAGGAGAAUCCCUCAGGUAUGUGCUCUUUCCCCCGGUAUGCGCUGCCUUUUCUGCAUGUGAUUUUGUGUCUGUCUUUUCUGGUCGAUUCUUUUUGUCUGCACUUUGAAUCACAACCAGGGUGUUCUCCUAAUGUAGUAGGUGGACUUAUAAACGCUCAGCUCUCCUGUGUUUCUAAUAUGGUUGGUUCUUUUGAGGAUGAUCUUAGACUUCCCAGUCACUGCUUUAUUUUAAAUGCAGAAUGAUAAAAGAUUGCUUAGUUUCUGCUCAACUUUCAGGGGAAUAUCUGCUUAGGGAAAAACAAGGCUGGGAUAAACGGCUGGGGCAUUUUCUAAUCCUUUGGGAUUUGGCAGAAAAAAUUAGAGCUAAUCAGAAAAGUUGAGGGCUUCUGGGAAGGGGUUAAAAGCUAAGAUAUCAUAGACUAUCAUUGUUGUUACCCAAGUGUCUUUCGAGCUCAGUUUGGAGCAAUUUGAGCCUUACCAUUGGUUUUGCAUUUUGAGCUCUUGAUCAGUCCUUCAAGAUGAAGAUCCUGUAGAUUUGCUUUCAAGAGAUGAAUUGCUUAAAUUGUGUACUUGGUUGUGUUUUACAAUUGUUCUAUCAUGCCAAAGGAGGCAGUCUAAAAAAAAAAAAAAA